UGACCUCGGAUCAGGUAGGAAUACCCGCUAGAACUUAAGCAUAUCAAUAAGCGGAGGA
rnacentral:rRNA from 1 species